GGUAAGGUCACGAACAGUCUUGCAGUGUAAGAAGGAGAUUAACGCCUUCUCUGAGGAUGGGAAAAUCCGCAUCGUUUGGGUGCCGGGCCAUAACAGAGUAAGGGGAAAUGAAAGGGCAGACGAUUUGGCGGUGAAGAGGACUGCCGUCAAUAAACUUGGUUAACCCGAAGCCUUUCGGCUCGACGCAGUCCGAGUUAAGGGAGUGGGCGACGAAUGCGCAUGCAACAUUGUGGAACAGCGAAACGGUCGGUAGGACGGCGAAAAUCCUAUGGGGGAUCCAGAUCGUGAAAAGACGAGGCUAUUACUGAAAGGAAGCAAGAAGGAGGUCAGUAUAGUUAUUGGUAUCAUAACGGGAUACAUAGGACUACGAGCUCACUUAUGUAAAGUCGGUACGGCAAGUAAUAGCAUGUGUAGGGCAUGCGGGGAGACGUUGGAGCAUUUCCUUUGUCAUUUCGCGUCCAACAGAUACCGCUACUUAGGUGGAGACACAAUAUCAGACAUGAACCAACUUAGGGGAGUGGCAUUGAAAACAAUUAAGGAUUUUUUUUUAGAGCGCAAAACAAGCCGAAUACUGGGGAUGUAUGUCCAUAGUGGCAUGGGGCGGAUUAAUAUCAGCACCAUCUUUUCAACCCAACCUUGUAUUUCAUCUUGAUGAAUGGCUUUUUAAAAAAAUAAGAACAAAUUUGGCCACAUUUCGUGAUGAAAACUCCCCAAAUCCCCACAGUGGUGAAAGAUGUUUGCAAAAUUGGCAUUUUUAAAUAAAAUGUCCGUAGAGAGCUCAAUCCUUUAAUGGCGCAAACAUUUUUUUGCAUGCAAUAAGUUAGCGCAAUGAAAAUAUGUUAUAAAGUUGGUGGUCUCAGCUUUGCGUUUUGAGAACACGAAAGGUUUUCGCAGUUUUUUUUUAAGCUAAUAUAUUACUUUACAGAUCUCCUACUAGAGUUAACACAAUUUAUAAAAAUUACACUUCAAACACAUCUACAUUAAGCAAAAAUUGAUAGUGUUGGGCCAAGUUUUCU